CUGCUGUGAAAAUCUUUGGCUUAAACGGAGUGGUGCAUUGGAAACUGUGAGACUUGAGUGCAGAAGAGGAGAGUGGAACUCCAUGUGUAGCGGUGAAAUGCGUAGAUAUAUGGAAGAACACCAGUGGCGAAAGCGGCUCUCUGGUCUGUAACUGACGCUGAGGUUCGAAAGCGUGGGUAGCAAA
rnacentral:rRNA from 1 species